rnacentral:rRNA from 1 species
GAUGAACGCUGGCGGCGUGCCUAAUACAUGCAAGUCGAGCGAACAGACGAGGAGCUUGCUCCUCUGACGUUAGCGGCGGACGGGUGAGUAACACGUGGAUAACCUACCUAUAAGACUGGGAUAACUUCGGGAAACCGGAGCUAAUACCGGAUAAUAUAUUGAACCGCAUGGUUCAAUAGUGAAAGACGGUUUUGCUGUCACUUAUAGAUGGAUCCGCGCCGCAUUAGCUAGUUGGUAAGGUAACGGCUUACCAAGGCAACGAUGCGUAGCCGACCUGAGAGGGGGAUAGGCCACACUGGAACUGAGAAACGGUCCAGACUCCUAAGGGAGGCAGCAGUAGGGAAUCUUCCGCAAUGGGCGAAAGCCUGACGGAGAAACGCCGCGGGAGUGAUGAAGGUCUUCGGAUCGUAAAACUCUGUUAUUAGGGAAGAACAAAUGUGUAAGUAACUAUGCACGUCUUGACGGUACCUAAUCAGAAAGCCACGGCUAAAUACGUG